AUUAUCGGUUAUUGUGUGUAGAUUAAUGAGAAUUAUAAUUUUUUAAAUACAUUUUAGAGUAAGGCUGUAAUGUAACAAAACCUUAGGCUUGUAUGUGUCUGCUCCGCCAUAGAAACCCAUUUCAUGAAGCUCCCUACUAACAGUUCUUGUACUGACAUUGCUCCAGGGCCAGUUUGGAACUCGAUAGUGAGUGUUGCAUCUAAGGACAGACUAUUUUUACAUGUUUCAGCACUCGGCGGUCCCGUUCUGUGAGCUUGUGUGUCCUACCACUUCGUGGCUGAGCUGUUGUAGAGGUUUCCACUUGACAAUAACAGCACUUACAGUUGAACGGGCCAGCUCUAGCACGGCAGACAUUUGACGAACUGACUUGAUUAAAAGGUGGCACCCUGCAGCAUGAAGGCGCCAUGUUGAAAGUCUGUCAUGUACUGUCAUGUUGUGUCUUGUCUCUGUCCUUUCCCUUCCCUUCACCCUGUCUCCCUCUGCUGGUCGUUGUUAGGUUACCUUUUCUCCCCCUCUUUCCCCCAGCUGUGCCUUGUCUCCUCCUAACCACCUCGUCACCCCUUUUCCCACCUGUUCCCUUUUUCCCUCUGAUUAGGUCCCUAUAUCUCUCUCUGUUUCUGCUCCUGUCUUUGUCGGAUUCUUGUUUGUUGUGUUUCAUGCCUGAACCAGACUGUCGUCAUGUUUGCUGUAACCUUGUCUUGUCCUGUCGGAAUCUGCCGGUCCGUCUGAGCCUACCUAUGUUUGGUAAUUAAAUAAGCUCUGUUUAAGUUAAUUCGCUUUUGGGUCCUCAUUCACGCACCGUAACAAAGUCACUGAGCUCUUCAGUAAGGCCAUUCUACUGAAAAGGUUUGACUAUGGAGAUUGCAUGGCUAUGUGCUCGAUUGUAUACAACAGCCUGCAAGGGUGUGGUUGAAAUAGCCGAAUCCACUCAUUUGAAGGGGUGUCCACAUAUUCUAUGUACAAAAGUGUCUUAAAAACUAUUGCCUUUCUGAUACAUGUUUUGUUGACUGUAAAUAGCAUAGAACAUGUCUGUGUUUUCUAUAAGUGCUCAUUUCCACCACCUCCAGUAUGGCAGUCUCCCCGUCCUAGUGAAUUUUUUCAAGCGUUGCCUUCUGUUAUGAACCAUGGGACUGUUUUUCUUCUCCAAACCACAUGUUUGAAACAUAAUUAUUUUACCACAGUCAGCAUAACCCUAACCAUACAAUAGCCUUAGUGAAUGGAUCUUAUUUUACUAGCUGUUGCAUAUCACUCCAAGUCAUAAGCACUGGAUCUGUUUCUGUGAUUCUGCAGCAGAACACAGUCUGUCAAAGUAAAACAUUUUUGGUUAUUCAAAGCCAACAAACACAAGCCAGACACAGACACUUGACCUAGGUCCAGUUAUACAACAAGAACAUUUAACAUUUUGUACAGACAGAGUCACUCUCCCUAUAGUCACAAUAACAAUAUAUAGUCCCAUAACUAAUGUACAUUACAGGGCUCAAUUGCAGAGCCCUUUUGGACUCAUAAUCACAGUCUUAAAUGAACAAGUGGUUCAUCAGACAAUGACUAUAAAAAACCUGGAGUGCAGCGAUAUGAAACCAUAUAAGGCAGUGAUCUGGAAGAAUCCAUAUGGAGACUCCCAGCCAGCUGGGGAGAGAGAGAAGAGGUUACUUGGAAAG
rnacentral:lncRNA from 13 species